rnacentral:rRNA from 1 species
CAAGGAAUUUUCCCCAAUGGGCGCAAGCCUGAGGGAGCAACGCCGCGUGCAGGACGACGGCCUUCGGGUUGUAAACCUCUUUUCUCAAGGAAGAAGCACUGACGGUACUUGAGGAAUCAGCAUCGGCUAACUCCGUGCCAGCAGCCGCGGUAAUACGGAGGAUGCAAGCGUUAUUCGGAAUUAUUGGGCGUAAAGCGUCCGCAGGUGGUGCCUCAAGUCUGCUGUCAAAGACCGAAGCUCAACUUCGGGCAGGCAGUGGAAACUGAAGCACUAGAGUACGGUAGGGGUAGAGGGAAUUUCCAGUGUAGCGGUGAAAUGCGUAGAGAUUGGAAAGAACACCAGUGGCGAAGGCGCUCUACUGGACCGUAACUGACACUCAGGGACGAAAGCUAGGGGAGCGAAAGGGAUUAGAUACCCCCGUAGUCC